UGCGUAGGCGGAUUGAUAAGUCAGUGGUGAAAACCUACAGCUUAACUGUAGAACUGCCAUUGAUACUGUUAGUCUUGAGUACGGUCAAGGUAGGCGGAAUGUGUAAUGUAGCGGUGAAAUGCUUAGAUAUUACACAGAACACCGAUUGCGAAGGCAGCUUACUGGACCAUUACUGACGCUGAGGCACGAAAGCGUGGGGAGCGAACAGGAUUAGAUACCCUGGUAGUCC
rnacentral:rRNA from 1 species